rnacentral:rRNA from 1 species
GAUGAACGCUGGCGGCGUGCCUAACACAUGCAAGUCGAACGAACAGACAAGGAGCUUUUUCCCUUGACGUUAGCGGCGGACGGGCGAGUAACACGUGGAUAACCUACCUCUAAGUCUGGGGUAACUUCGGGAAACCGGAUCUAAUACUGCCUCAUAUAUCGUACCGCAUGGUUCAAUAGUGCUAGACGCCUUUGCUGUCUCAUAUAGCCGGUUUCGCGCCGGAUUAGCUAGUUGGUAAGGUAACGGCCUACCAAGGCGACGAUGCGUAGCCGAUCUGAGAGGAUGAUCAGCCACACUGGAACUGAGACACGGUCCAGACUCCUACGGGAGGCAGCAGUGGGGAAUAUUGGGCAAUGGGCGCAAGCCUGAUCCAGCCAUACCGCGUGGGUGAAGAAGGCCUUCGGGUUGUAAAGCUCUGUUAUUGGGAAAGAAAAGCAGCAGGUUAAUACCCCGCUGUUCUGACGGUACCCAAAGAAUAAGCACCGGCUAACUUCGUG